UACGGAGGGUGCAAGCGUUAAUCGGAAUUACUGGGCGUAAAGCGUGCGCAGGCGGUUUGUUAAGUCCGUUGUGAAAGCCCCGAGCUCAACUUGGGAAUUGCAGUGGAUACUGGCAGGCUGGAGUACGGUAGAGGAAGGUGGAAUUCCCGGUGUAGCAGUGAAAUGCGUAGAUAUCAGGAGGAACACCGACGGCGCAGGCAGCGUCCUGGCCGCUAGCUGACACUGAGGCACGAAAGCUGGGGGGAGCAAACAGG
rnacentral:rRNA from 1 species